rnacentral:lncRNA from 1 species
CGAGAGGGCUAUAACUCUCCUAAAGGUUUUCCUUCUACUCACUCAAUAAUUGCCUAUAUUUUACUCCCUCUCCUAUUACAUUUAUACUACUAUUUCCAUCCUUAUUCCCCAAACUACCACUGAUAACUAAUUGGAUUGGAACACUCUAGAAUAUGGCGUAACAAACUUGCAUGUCUAAUUGGGAAGUCUAUCAUUACUUGCCCCCCGAAUUUCAUCUUGUCCUCGCGGUGAAAAUUCAGACCGACUCCCAAAAUUUCGUACAUUCGGACUACUAUCUUUACCAUUCCAGUCAUGAUUGGAGUAGAGAAUGAAUACUCCACCUCGAAGAAGUUGACAGGCCUAUUAACUAUAAGUAGUAUAUUGUCCAAGAAAACCCCAUAUCCAGUUGCACCCCUUCGCGUGUUUCCCAAAAAUUGAAACCGCCAGAUUGAAAUUAAAUGGUGGAUAGUACAACCAAUCAGCUUCGCCACCCUUCUUGUGCUACUAUUGAAUAUAUCAACAAUCCUAACGUAUCACCAACCUCCACAUAAUUGUUGGUAUUAAAAAUUCCUUCACUUUUAUGGCCACCUACCCAUCCAAAUUCAUUGUUAUUGAUUUCCCAAACUGUUACUCCUGUCUCAUUGUUUGACAGAACAAUCUCAUGGCCCAUCUGAUUAAGUUCAUUCCAACCCACUUUGUCAGGUACCAAAAACAACAUGAACAAUGGAGAAUGCCCUGAAAAAUUCCAUGACAAUUGCACCAAUUCCUCAUCUAUAGGCGCAAAAACGGUUAACUUCAAAUUCUCGCCUAAUAUCAAGAAUGAAAUUUGAUGAGGGCUAAUUAUACCCUUCUCCACCAAUUCACUCAACGAACAGCAAGUCGACAUUUUCACUUCGAGACUCCUAAUCUGACUUGUGAGUAUCAUGGACUGCAAUUCGAUUUUUG